GACGAACGCUGGCGGCGUGCCUAAUACAUGCAAGUCGAGCGAACAGAUGAGGAGCUUGCUCCUCUGACGUUAGCGGCGGACGGGUGAGUAACACGUGGAUAACCUACCUAUAAGACUGGGAUAACUUCGGGAAACCGGAGCUAAUACCGGAUAAUAUAUUGAACCGCAUGGUUCAAUAGUGAAAGACGGUUUUGCUGUCACUUAUAGAUGGAUCCGCGCCGCAUUAGCUAGUUGGUAAGGUAACGGCUUACCAAGGCAACGAUGCGUAGCCGACCUGAGAGGGUGACCGGCCACACUGGAACUGAGACACGGGCCAGACUCCUACGGGAGGCAGCAGUAGGGAAUCUUCCGCAAUGGGCGAAAGCCUGACGGAGCAACGCCGCGUGAGUGAUGAAGGUCUUCGGAUCGUAAAACUCUGUUAUUAGGGAAGAACAAAUGUGUAAGUAACUAUGCACGUCUUGACGGUACCUAAUCAGAAAGCCACGGCUAACUACGUG
rnacentral:rRNA from 1 species